rnacentral:rRNA from 1 species
AAUGAACGCUGGCGGUAUGCCUAACACAUGCAAGUCGAACGAGAUCCUCCGGGGUCUUGUGGCGCACGGGUGCGUAACGCGUGGAAAUCUGCUUUUAGGCUCGGCAUAACAGUUAGAAAUGAGUGCUUAUACCGGAUGCUGACGUGAAGUCCAAAGAUUUAUCGAAUGAGGACGAGCCGUCGUUGGAUUAGCUAGUUGGUGUAGUAAAGGCCCAACAAGGCGACGAUACUUAGCUGGUCUGGGAGGAUGAGCAGCCACACUAGGACUGAGACACGGCCCAGACUCCGGCGGGAGGCAGCAGUGGAGAAUACUGGACGAGGGACGCAAUCCUGAUCCAGCAAUGCCGCGUGAAUGAUGAAGGCCUUAUUGUUGUAAAGCUCUUUUAGCCGGGAUGAUAAUGACGGUACCGGAAGAAUAAGCCCCGGCUAACUCCGUG